UACGUAGGAUGCAAGCGUUGUCCGGAAUUAUUGGGCGUAAAGAGCGCGCAGGCGGUAUGACAAGUCAGAUGUGAAAGAGGCCGGCUUAACCGGCAAGGGUCAUUUGAAACUGUCAGACUAGAGUGCAGCAGAGGAUAGUGGAAUUCCCGGUGUAGUGGUGAAAUGCGUAGAUAUCGGGAGGAACACCAGUGGCGAAGGCGACUAUCUGGGCUGCAACUGACGCUGAGGCGCGGAGGCUAGGGUAGCAAACAGA
rnacentral:rRNA from 1 species